UACGUAGGGGGCAAGCGUUAUCCGGAUUUACUGGGUGUAAAGGGGGCGCAGACGGCAGCGCAAGCCAGGAGUGAAAGCCCGGGGCCCAACCCCGGGACUGCUCUUGGAACUGCGCGGCUGGAGUGCAGGAGGGGCAGGCGGAAUUCCUGGUGUAGCGGUGAAAUGCGUAGAUAUCAGGAGGAACACUGGUGGCGAAGGCGGCCUGCUGGACUGCGACUGACGUUGAGGCCCGAAAGCGUGGGGAGCAAACAGG
rnacentral:rRNA from 1 species